ACUGCUCAGUAACACGUGGAUAACCUGCCCUUGGGUCCGGCAUAACUCCGGGAAACUGGAGAUAAUUCCGGAUAACGCACAUAUGCUGGAAUGCUUUAUGCGUAAAAUGGAUUCGUCUGCCCAAGGAUGGGUCUGCGGCCUAUCAGGUAGUAGUGGGUGUAAUGUACCUACUAGCCAACAACGGGUACGGGUUGUGAGAGCAAGAGCCCGGAGAUGGAUUCUGAGACAUGAAUCCAGGCCCUACGGGGCGCAGCAGGCGCGAAAACUUUACAAUGCGGGAAACCGUGAUAAGGGGACACCGAGUGCCAGCAUCAUAUGCUGGCUGUCCAGGUGUGUAAAAUACACCUGUUAGCAAGGGCCGGGCAAGACCGGUGCCAGCCGCCGCGGUAACACCGGCGGCCCGAGUGGUGAUCGUGAUUAUUGGGUCUAAAGGGUCCGUAGCCGGUUUGGUCAGUCCUCCGGGAAAUCUGAUAGCUCAACUAUUAGGCUUUCGGGGGAUACUGCCAGGCUUGGAACCGGGAGAGGUAAGAGGUACUACAGGGGUAGGAGUGAAAUCUUGUAAUCCCUGUGGGACCACCUGUGGCGAAGGCGUCUUACCAGAACGGGUUCGACGGUGAAGGACGAAAGCUGGGGGCACGAACCGGAUUAGAUACCCGGGUAGUCCCAGCCGUAAACGAUGCUCGCUAGGUGUCAGGCAUGGCGCGACCGUGUCUGGUGCCGCAGGGAAGCCGUGAAGCGAGCCACCUGGGAAGUACGGCCGCAAGGCUGAAACUUAAAGGAAUUGGCGGGGGAGCAC
rnacentral:rRNA from 1 species